rnacentral:rRNA from 1 species
CUACGUGCCAGCAGCCGCGGUAAUACGUAGGUGGCAAGCGUUGUCCGGAAUUAUUGGGCGUAAAGCGCGCGCAGGCGGAUCUGCCAGUCUGUCUUAAAAGUUCGGGGCUUAACCCCGUGAUGGGAUGGAAACUGCCAAUCUAGAGUAUCGGAGAGGAAAGUGGAAUUCCUAGUGUAGCGGUGAAAUGCGUAGAUAUUAGGAAGAACACCAGUGGCGAAGGCGACUUUCUGGACGAAAACUGACGCUGAGGCGCGAAAGCCAGGGGAGCGAACGGGAUUAGAUACCCCGGUAGUCCUGGCCGUAAACGAUGGGUACUAGGUGUAGGAGGUAUCGACCCCUUCUGUGCCGGAGUUAACGCAAUAAGUACCCCGCCUGGGGAGUACGACCGCAAGGUUGAAACUCAAAGGAAUUGACGGGGGCCCGCACAAGCGGUGGAGUAUGUGGUUUAAUUCGACGCAACGCGAAGAACCUUACCAGGUCUUGACAU